rnacentral:tRNA from 1 species
AGCCUCGGUAGCUUAGAGGUAUAGUGCAUCCUUGGUAAGGAUGAGGUCGAGGGUUCAAAUCCCUCCCGGGGCUU